rnacentral:rRNA from 1 species
ACGGGUGAGUAACACGUGGGUAACCUGCCCUGUACUCUGGGAUAAGCCUUGGAAACGAGGUCUAAUACCGGAUACGACCUGGAAUCGCAUGAUUUUGGGUGGAAAGUUCCGGCGGUAUGGGAUGGACCCGCGGCCUAUCAGCUUGUUGGUGGGGUAAUGGCCUACCAAGGCGACGACGGGUAGCCGGCCUGAGAGGGUGACCGGCCACACUGGGACUGAGACACGGCCCAGACUCCUACGGGAGGCAGCAGUGGGGAAUAUUGCACAAUGGGCGAAAGCCUGAUGCAGCGACGCCGCGUGAGGGAUGACGGCCUUCGGGUUGUAAACCUCUUUCAGCAGGGACGAAGCGCAAGUGACGGUACCUGCAGAAGAAGCACCGGCUAACUACGUGCCAGCAGCCGCGGUAAUACGUAGGGUGCGAGCGUUGUCCGGAAUUAUUGGGCGUAAAGAGCUCGUAGGCGGUUUGUCGCGUCGGCCGUGAAAACUUGGGGCUUAACCCCGAGCCUGCGGUCGAUACGGGCAGACUUGAGUUCGGCAGGGGAGACUGGAAUUCCUGGUGUAGCGGUGAAAUGCGCAGA